CCAGCUGCCACCCACACAGCCCUGCCCAGGGAGCACCAACACCAGGGGCACCUGGGCAUUCCUGCCUGCACAUGGCUCACAAACCCCCAGAGCUCAGACUGCAGCUUCUCCGCUUUCAUUCUUCCAGGAGCUGCUUUUUAUUUCAGGGGGUUGAAGCGAAGCAAUCCCACAAGCAGCCAGCCCAGGAUGGUCUCUGGUGCCAGAGGUCUCGCUCUUACCUCCUCACCAAUAGAGAUGCAGGCUUUGGAGUCCAGAUCUCUGGGCGGCCUGCACAAAAAUAAAAUGGAAAAUAUUUGAAA